CGUCAAGUUUUUACGGGCACACGGUGAAUGCCUUGGCGUCGAAAGCCGAUGAAGGACGUGGUAAGCUGCGAUAAGCUUCGGGUAGCCGCAAACAGGCUUUGAUCCGAAGAUCUCCGAAUGGGGAAACCCAAUAGAGUGACAAACUCUAUUAUCAUGAACUGAAUACAUAGGUUCAUGAGGACAACCCAGGGAAGUGAAACAUCUCAGUACCUGGAGGAAAAGAAAUCAACCGAGAUUCCCUUAGUAGCGGCGAGCGAAACGGGAAGAGCCUAAACCAGGUUCAUGUCAAGCCUGCUGGCGUUGUGGACCUGGGGUUGUGGGAGCCUUCUGCUGAAGCAGCAGAUUCAGCAAGGAGUUACAAAGACUUGUAGUAGAUGAACUUGCCUGGAAAGGUAGGCCAGAGAAGGUGAAAGCCCUGUAAUCGAAACUACAAGUCCUCCUGAAGGAUUUCCCAAGUACCAUGAGGCACGUGAAACCUCGUGGGAAUCUGGGUGGACCAUCAUCCAAGGCUAAAUACUCUUCGACGACCGAUAGCGCAUAGUACCGUGAGGGAAAGGUGAAAAGAACCCCGGAAGGGGAGUGAAAUAGAACCUGAAACCGUGUGCUCACAAGCAGUCAUAGCUCUAAGAUUGGCUUCGGCCAAUCGGAGUGGUGGCGUACCUGUUGAAGAAUGGGCCGGCGAGUUACGUUCUGUGGCAAGGUUAAGAGGUGAUCCCUCGGAGCCGUAGCGAAAGCGAGUCUUAAUAGGGCGAUUAGUCAUUGGACGUAGACGCGAAACCGGGUGACCUAUCCAUGGCCAGGUUGAAGCGUGACUAACCUCACGCGGAGGACCGAACCAGUUAUCGUUGAAAAGAUAUUGGAUGAGCUGUGGAUAGAGGUGAAAUGCCAAUCGAACUCGGUGAUAGCUCGUUCUCCCCGAAAUUGCUUUAAGGCUAGCCUCAAGUUAACCUUUCCGGGGGUAGAGCACUGUUCGAGCUAGGGGUCCUACCAGACUACCGAACUCUUACAAACUCCGAAUACCGGAAAGUCUUGCUUGGGAGUGGGACGGUGGUGGAUAAGCUCCAUCGUCGAGAGGGAAACAGCCCAGACCAUCAGCUAAGGCCCCCAAAUGCAGACUAAGUGGGAAAGGAAGUGAAUCGGCUAAAACAGCCAGGAUGUUGGCUUAGAAGCAGCCAUCAUUAAAAGAGUGCGUAACAGCUCACUGGUCGAGUCGAUUUGCGCCUAAAACUCAACGGGGCUCAAGUCUGCUGCCGAAGCUAUGGAUUCAAUACAUAUACUGUAUUGUCUGGUAGGGGAGCGUUCUUAAAGGGCUGAAGGAGGACUCGUGAGAGCCUCUGGACUUUUAAGAAGUGAGAAUGCCGGCAUAAGUAACGAUAAGGAGAGUGGAAAUCUCUCCCGCCGUAAGACCAAGGUUUCCUGGGGAAGGCUCGUCCGCCCAGGGUUAGUCGGGCCUAAGCUGAGGCCGAAAGGCGUAGGCGAUGGACAUCCGGUUAAUAUUCCGGAACCAUCUCAAGAGCGUUUGUACGAUGGGGUGACGCUGCAAGAAAGGUUAGCCAGCGGACGGUUGUGCUGGUACAAGCUCGUAGGCUAAGGGAUAGGCAAAUCCGUCCCUUAUAAAGGCCGAGAAGUGAUGUGGAGGGGACACGUUCCCCGAACUAAUUGGACAAGCAGCCAAGAAAAACCUCUAAGGAGUUCUUGAGGUGUCCGUACCGCAAACCGACACAGGUGGUCGAGGAGAAUAUCCUAAGGCGUGCAGGAGCACCCUCGUUAAGGAACUCGGCAAAAUAGCCCCGUAACUUCGGAAGAAGGGGUGCCCUUGUAAUGUGUAGUGACUUGCUCACGAAGCAUGAAGGGGUCGCAGUAAAGAGGCUCGGGCGACUGUUUACCAAAAACAUAGGUCUCUGCUAAGCCGUAAGGCGAAGUAUAGGGGCUGACACCUGCCCAGUGCCGGAAGGUCAAGGGGAAGAGUUAGCCGCAAGGCGAAGCUCUGAACUUAAGCCCCGGUGAACGGCGGCCGUAACUAUAACGGUCCUAAGGUAGCGAAAUUCCUUGUCGGGUAAGUUCCGACCCGCACGAAAGGUGUAACGAUCCGAGCGCUGUCUCAACGAGGGACCUGGUGAAUUUGGGAUAUCCGUGAAGACACGGAUUACUUGCAAAGGGACGGAAAGACCCCAUGAAGCUUUACUGUAGUCUGACAUUGCGUUUUGAUAAUUCAUGUACAGGAUAGGUGGGAGGCUGUGAAGGAAGGGCGCCAGCUCUUCUGGAGCCGUCCUUGGGAUACCACCCUUGAAUUAUUGGGACGCUAACUUGCAUCCGUUAUCCGGAGCAAGGACAGUGUUUGAUGGGCAGUUUGACUGGGGCGGUCGCCUCCCAAAAGGUAACGGAGGCGUCCAAAGGUCACCUCAGCGUGAUUGGAAACCACGCGUCGAGUGUAAAGGUAUAAGGUGGCUUGACUGUGAGAGAGACAUCUCGAGCAGGGACGAAAGUCGGGCUUAGUGAUCCGACGGUUCAGCAUGGAAUGGCCGUCGCUUAACGGAUAAAAGUUACUCUGGGGAUAACAGGCUUAUCUCCCCCAAGAGUCCACAUCGACGGGGAGGUUUGGCACCUCGAUGUCGGCUCAUCGCAUCCUGGGGCUGAAGUAGGUCCCAAGGGUUAGGCUGUUCGCCUAUUAAAGCGGUACGUGAGCUGGGUUCAGAACGUCGUGAGACAGUUUGGUCCCUAUCUUUUGCAAGCGCAAGAAACUUGAGGAGGUCUAUCCCUAGUACGAGAGGACCGGGAUGGCGGAGCCUCCAGUGCAUCGGCUGUGGUGCCAACUGCAAGGUCGAGUAGCUGUGCUCCGUGUGGAUAAGCGCUGAAAGCAUAUAAGCGCGAAGCCCUCUCCAAGAUUAGGUUUCUCAUCCAGCAAUGGAGUAAGACCCCUGGGAGACUACCAGGUUGAUAGGCCAGAGGUGUAAGCAUGGCAACAUGUUCAGCUGACUGGUACUAAUAGGUCGAGGACUUGACGGU
rfam:Thermodesulfobium narugense DSM 14796, complete genome.